rnacentral:rRNA from 1 species
UUCUUUUUGAAUAGAAUAAAAAGUAGCCCCUGCUCAAUGAAAUAAUUAAAUAGCUGCAGAUAAUCUGUACUAAGGUAGCAUAAUCAAUUGUGAUGUUAAUUGCGGACUAGUAUGAAGGGGGAUAUUGUUAAAAACUUUAUUUUAUUUUUUUAUUAAACUUAAACUUAUAGUAAAAAUGCUAUAAUAAUUGUUAGGGACGAGAAGACCCUAUAAAGCUUUUAUGUUUGUAGAUAGUUUUUAUUUGUAAAUAUAUUUAUUGGGGCAAUAUUUUAAUUAAAUAUAAAUUUAAAGGGAAAUAUAUAAUGUAAUCAAGAUCCAUUAAUAAUGAAAUAAGAUUAAGUUACUUUAGGGAUAACAGCAUAAUUUUUUUUAUUAAGAGCUUAUUAAUAUAAUUGAUUAUGACCUCGAUGUUGAAUUAAUUAAAUUUUAUGGUGUAGAAACUAUAUAAAAUAUGACUGUUCGUCAUUUAAAGGAUUACA